rnacentral:lncRNA from 1 species
AAGGAGGCCGUGGCGGUACAGAGUGGUCUCCGGUUCGCCGGAGAAGCAGCAAGAAGAUGGCCGGAAGGAAGGGCGGCGAGAGGAAGAAGGCGGUGACCCGCUCCGUGAAGUCCGGGCUCCAGUUCCCCGUGGGCCGCAUCGGGCGCUACCUCAAGAAGGGCCGCUACGCGCAGCGCGUCGGCUCCGGCGCCCCCGUCUACCUCGCCGCCGUCCUCGAGUACCUCGCCGCCGAGGUAACCGCAGAUCUUCGCUCGCUGCCCUCGAGCCUCUGUUCUGCUGCUCUGUUCUUCUUGUGUUGGACAGAUAACCGAUUCCGUUCUUGGUUGGUAUGAAUCUCAGGUCCUGGAGCUGGCCGGCAACGCGGCCAAGGACAACAAGAAGACGCGCAUCAUCCCUCGCCACCUGCUGCUGGCCGUCCGCAACGACCAGGAGCUCGGCAGGCUGCUCGCCGGCGUCACCAUCGCCCACGGCGGCGUCAUCCCCAACAUCAAUUCCGUGCUGCUCCCCAAGAAGUCCCCCGCUGCCGCCGAGAAGGAGGCCAAGUCGCCCAAGAAGAAGGCCGCCACCAAGUCCCCCAAGAAGAAGACCGCAGCCGCCAAGGAGUAGCCGUCCUCGUCCCCUUAGCCUAGCCAGUCUUGCUGCUCUGUUCCAUUUCUCAUGGACAAGAUGAGCACUAGUAGUUUGGUUGGCAGAUCUGUAUGUAGUGCCUGGUAGUCUCUAGUGACCCAUUCUGAUUUCGUUGAGCAAAAAGGGUGGCAUUGUAUCUCUGAUUUCUGUGGGAAAUACUAAAGAUGCAGUCCUUUGAGUCUUAGUAAUUCUCUUGUUCUGUAUAUCUAUGUGUCUCUGCAAUUGAUCUUGUGAAUGCUUG